rnacentral:rRNA from 1 species
UCCUACGGGAGGCAGCAGUGGGGAAUAUUGGGCAAUGGGCGCAAGCCUGACCCAGCAACGCCGCGUGAAGGAAGAAGGCUUUCGGGUUGUAAACUUCUUUUCUCAGGGACGAAGAAAGUGACGGUACCUGAGGAAUAAGCCACGGCUAACUACGUGCCAGCAGCCGCGGUAAUACGUAGGUGGCAAGCGUUAUCCGGAUUUACUGGGUGUAAAGGGCGUGUAGGCGGGAAAGCAAGUCAGAUGUGAAAACCAUGGGCUCAAACUGUGGCCUGUAUUUGAAAUUGUUUUUCUUGAGUAAUGGAGAG